GAUGAACGCUGGCGGCGUGCCUAAUACAUGCAAGUCGAGCGAACAGACGAGGAGCUUGCUCCUCUGACGUUAGCGGCGGACGGGUGAGUAACACGUGGAUAACCUACCUAUAAGACUUGGAUAACUUCAGGAAACCGGAGCUAAUACCGGAUAAUAUAUUGAACCGCAUGGUUCAAUAGUGAAAGACGGUUUUGCUGUCACUUAUAGAUGGAUCCGCGCCGCAUUAGCUAGUUGGUAAGGUAACGGCUUACCAACGCAACGAUGCGGAGCCGACCUGAAAGGGUGAUCGGCCACACUGGAAGUGAGACACGGUCCAGACUCCUACGGGAGGACGCGGUAGGGAAUCUUACGCAAUGGGCGAGAGCGUGACGGAGCAACGCCGCGUGAGUGAUGAAGGUCUUCGGAUCGUAAAGCUCUGUUAUUAGGGAAGAACAAAUGUGUAAGUACCUAUGCACGUCUUGACGGUACCUAAUCAGAAAGCCACGGCUAACUACGUG
rnacentral:rRNA from 1 species